rnacentral:rRNA from 1 species
UACAUGUGGGGCAAGCGUUGUUCGGAAUUACUGGGCAUAAAGGGUGCGUAGGUGGCUUGUUAAGUCAGGGGUGAAAGUUUUCGGCCCAACCGGAAAAUGGCCUUUGAUACUGGCAAGCUCGAGUGCGUGAGGGGUAACCGGAACGAGCAGUGUAGCGGUGAAAUGCGUAGAUAUUGCUCGGAAGGCCAACGGCGAAGGCAGGUUACUGGUACGCAACUGACACUGAGGCACGAAAGCGUGGGGAGCAAACAGGG